rnacentral:lncRNA from 1 species
GAGACUAAAACAAAUCUUAAAAUAAUACACAUAAUAAAAAGUGAUUAUAUAGAAAUUGAAACAAAUUAGAACUAAAAAGUCUAAAAUAUUAACCAAAUUAAUAAUAAAACUAAAGUUUUACAAUACCAAAAUAAUAUUAAAAACGAUAACAGACAACAUAAAUUAUGCUGUAACCAAAGCAAGUAGCACAAAAAUAAAAUAGUUGCAAAAGAACAAUAAAACACCACCAAAUUAGCAACACCAAAACAGCAACAAAGCAAGUUCAGGGGAGAGAAGGGCAAGGCUCAAGUCCUUCGGUUGACUGCCAAUAUCAACGGAAUCUCUACCCUCACACUGAUCCCCAUGAAGAGAAAUUCUUCAUACCUGGAACAGGGGUACAAUUAAAAGGAAAAUAUAAGAAACAAUAGAACCUACACGUCCAAGAGAAAGAGAUUCCAUGUUCAUAGAUACAAGGAAAAGAAAAGAAAGAGAAAAGACUGAUAGCAUCAUAAAAUUACUACUAAAACUCUAUAUUUAAGAUGAAAUACCAAUUCAACACUUCAACUGAAAGUAGAAUGUGUGAAUACCAAAUCUUUCAUGUACUCAAAUAAAUCAUUUUACAAGAAUUUUUAAAAAAAUUGUACCUUUAAAAGCUAUACUUUUUGCACCUCAUAGGUUCUAUUAUGAUUUUUCUUUUGGCCUAACUUAACAUAUUCUACCCAAAGAAAUACCACUUAAAAAGUUUCAUGUUAGUUUUAAUUAAACCAUGACAUUUGCAUCAUAAAUGGAUUAGCUUAUAUUCAUAUCAAACAUGUACCUAUACCUAAGUAUAAAAACAGCACCAAAACAGCAACAAAACAACACCAAAACAGCACCAAACAGCAUAAAAAUAGCACAAACAACAGCACCAAUACAGCAACAAAACAGCACCAAACAGCAUAAAAAUAGCACAAAAAACAGCACUAAACAGCAUCACCAGAAACACCAAAAUAGCACAAAAAACAGCACCAAACAGCUAUUCUUAGACAAAUGCCUAACUCCCAUGCCCCAGUUGAACUGAUAGUCCAAGAAAAUAAGCAAUUCUACUAAUAAACAAUAUCAAUAAUUAUGAUAAUUAUUUGUUUGAUUGUUGAAAAAUGUUAUGGUUUAAAUAAAUCUUUAGAAUUUUGCUUCAACUAGAAACAAUAACAUAAAAAAUGUGGAUAAGGAUAAAGCAUUGUGUUUUGACAUUCUUCCAGUUUCCCAGUAACCAAACAGAACAGAGGCAAUACCUUAAAGCAGGAAAUGCAUCAAUACCUUAAAGCAGCAAUACUUUCACUAUAGAAAAAACAAACCCCAUUUCCCUUCUUCUUCAACCCCCCAAAAUUUUCUCUUCUUUCACUUAACUUUAAAACCAAAAGAUAUACAACAAAUCCAAAGCAGCAAAGCAAAACUCAAUGUUUCUAUGCUCUAAGUUGAACUAUGCUAAUUUCCCUUGAGAAACAAGGGAGUAAAAAUGGUUAUGGUGAUAAUACGGAGGACAUUAUUAAUUUUAUUGAAAGAAAAGCAAACGUGGGAAAAAGGAACAUGAGUUGUUUAUGUCGGAAUUUUUCGUUGUUUUAAUGCAAAAGAUAAGAAAAAAAAAUUACAAAGUUGAUUGUAAAAGAAUAGUAUGACCAAGAAAUAAUGAUAGAAGGGGGGUGCUUUUUCGCCAAACCAAAUUAAUUUGUCUUCAUUUUCAUUUUUGUCAGGUGGUGCGGGUGAGAAAAUAUAAGAACUAUAAUGAAAGAGAGCACCAAAAUAAUUACAGUAAGAAGAAGAUGCACUGUCAAAAACCUGCAAGAAACAUAAAAAAACAUCAUAGUCGUGAACGCUACAAGACACAACAUAAAAAAAUAAAUCAUCAAAACAUAUAUUAAAGAAACAUCCACCCCUUAUCUCCCGGAUCAACAGAAGACACCAAAGCCAAAUAAUAAAUCAGAAAAGCAUUAGUCAGACAAAAUAUUGACACAAUAAACAAUAGCCUAUCUAAACCUCUUGAAACUCAAGAAAAAUUUUCUUGCCUGAUAUUUUUUUAGUAUUUAUGCUUUCCAAUUUCUCCUCUUUAAACUUAUCUCUCAACCAUUUAACUUUAAAAACAAAUCAUGUAGUAACAAUCAAUAAUUUUCUUCAACCUAUGCGUAGCUUGCAUAAUCAACAAAAUCAACAACUGAUUUCUUAGAUUCUAAUAAUAAAUUAUCUUUAAUACAUCCAUCACAUUUUAUGAGUGUAAAUUUUGUAAUAUUCUCUCUUUAUGCUUAGCUUUUAAAAAUGUAUUUAAUUGAAAGUAAAGAUAAAAUCUUUAAAAAUCUAUACCAAACUCUAUCACCCAAUCACCGCUCCAUAAUUUUCAUCUUAUAAAGUACAAUAAGGGUAAAGGAAAAUAAAUGAGAAAUUAGCUUCGAAAGAUAAUUUAAUGGGAAGAGAAAAUAAAUAAAUAAAUAAAAACACUAAGAAAACGUUGGGUAAGAGAAGGAACCAGACAAAACCGAAAAGCUGGUAGGAAAGAAAGCAAAGACUGCAAGAGCAGAGCAAGUAUUAUCUCCAUCAUAUCAUCUUGGAUUCCACAAUUCAUUUUAAUUUCAUUUCAUGUCCACA